rnacentral:rRNA from 1 species
GCGAACGCUGGCGGCAGGCUUAACCCAUGCAAGUCGAGCGGGCAUCCUUGUGGUGUCAGCGGCAGACGGGUGAGUAACGCGUGGGAACGUGCCCUUCGGUUCGGAAUAACUCAGGGAAACUUGAGCUAAUACCGGAUACGUGCGAGAGCAGAAAGGUUUAUCUGCCGAAGGAUCGGCCCGCGUCUGAUUAGCUAGUUGGUGAGGUUAUGGCUCACCAAGGCGACGAUCAGUAGCUGGGCUGAGAGGAUGAUCAGCCACACUGGGACUGAGACACGGCCCAGACUCCUACGGGAGGCAGCAGUGGGGAAUAUUGGACAAUGGGGGCAACCCUGAUCCAGCCAUGCCGCGUGAGUGAUGACGGCCUUAGGGUUGUAAAGCUCUUUUCUCCGGGACGAUAAUGACGGUACCGGAGGAAUAAGCCCCGGCUAACUUCGUG